CUAACAUGCCGGCUCGAUCAAUCAAUCAGUACGUCCUCGCCGGGAAACGGUCCGCCGUCCUACGAGCCAUGCCUACCGGCCGGCCAACUUUAUUUCCUUAACCGCUGGAGACAGGAACCCCAUCCAUCACCUCGCUCCUUGGAUCAAGCAGCUAAACUACACAUACUCCUACAUGCCAUGCUGCUACCAUCUAGGUAUCUGUAACGAACCAUAUAGUCCCUUCAGUUUAGAACCUUUUCUUCUUCCUUUCAACUUGCUAGUAAUGAUAGAGAACAUAGUUGUUUUCCAUGGGCCUCGUUUCUGCACCUUGGAACGAGCGGUGUCUAGGCAUUAAAAUCAUUUUGCAAGAUUUAAGGGACAAGAGACGAGAUAAUCUUGGAGCUCCACUUGCAUGUGGACCAUCCAUGCCACGAGGUCCAAGUGGCCAGCGUGUGACAUCUGCAUCUGUCGGGUGGCCGUGGCUAUGGAUCGACGGCCAGGGGAGACUAACAUGACGCCGCCCCCUCGCCACAGUUGACCCGGCGGCCGCAAGAAUUCUCGGAUGCACACCGCGGCAAUCUCAGCAUCAUCCGUACGUAUACCUGUCAUCGGAUCUCCCAAUCCCGUGAACUUGCUUGUGAGGUGCGGCGGUGUUUAUUCAACGCAGCAACUAGCGGCUAUAUAAAUUCAAGUUCAAGCCGUACUUCGUUUUCUAUGGAGAAGUAAACAACGGUGACAUGUCGGGUCCUGGGUGGAGGAUCUGAUUUCUCAUUUUCCAUUGAUGUGCUCACGAGUUCUUGGAGAGUUAAUUUCAGCGGUGGAUGCGAGUCAGACCAUGACUGGUACUGCAGGUUUAUGCAGGAGUCAUCGGUCAUCGUCGCCGGUCAGUCACCGGUCGCUAGUCAGGCAGGAAAUCAGUUUAAUUUCUAUCCCGGCAUUGUCAGCUUCAGCUUCAGCCUCAGUCAGUCAAUCCUUCUCUGAUCCAGAUGCCCCGAAAAAGGAGAUUGGACAACCGUGAAACAUACUGCCAGAAGAUGUAAAUUAGCCCAAGCACGCCGUGGUAAGGACAACGAUCGUCCGCCUAAUACGUAUCUUUGUUCGGCUUUGGAGUCCCAAUGUGAUCUGUGUGCUUGUGACGAUCCGUGGUCGAUCAAGACAUGUGGCCUCCACAUAAUUUUCCUCUUUCUUCCCGAUUGUGAUGCGUGAUGAAAUGUGGUACAGACUACGUCCUUUUCUAUUAGGUGCUAGUCGCGAUUUAUCGGAGAAAAUGUUGAGAUGAUAUGUAUCUGUAGCCCCCUUCUGAAUUUUCUAGUCUAUUGAAUUGUUGUUGUGGACAUGGCA